rnacentral:rRNA from 1 species
GAUGAACGCUGGCGGCGUGCCUAAUACAUGCAAGUCGAGCGAACAGACGAGGCGCUUGCUCCUCUGACGAUAGCGGCGGACGUGUGAGUAACACGUGGAUAACCUACCUAUAAGACUGGGAUAAUUUCGGGAAGCCGGAGCUUAUACCGGAUAAUAUAUUGAACCGCAUGGUUCAAUAGUGAAAGACGGUUUUGCUGUCACUUAUAGAUGGAUCCGCGCCGCAUUAGCUAGUUGGUAAGGUAACGGCUUACCAAGGCGACGAUGCGUAGCCGACCUGAGAGGGUGAUCGGCCACCGUAGAGCUGAGACACGGUCCAGACUACUACGAGAGGCAGCAGUCGGGAAUCUUACGCAAUGGGGGGAAGCCUGACGGAGCAACGGCGCGUGGGUGACGAAAGUCUUCGGAUCGUAAAACUCUGUUAUUAGGGAAGAACAAAUGUGUAAGUAACUAUGCGCGUCUUGACGGUACCUAAUCAGAAAGCCACGGCUAACUACGUG